rnacentral:rRNA from 1 species
UACGUAUGGUGCGAGCGUUGUCCGGAUUUACUGGGCGUGAAGGGGGCGCAGGCGGCGCGCCAAGCCCGAUGUGAAAGCCCGGGGCUCAACCCCGGGACUGCAUUGGGAACUGGCGUGCUGGAGUGCCGGAGGGGCAGGCGGAAUUCCUGGUGUGGCGGUGAAAUGCGUAGAUAUCAGGAGGAACACCGGUGGCGAAGGCGGCCUGCUGGACGGAUACUGACGCUGAGGCCCGAAAGCGUGGGGAGCGAACAGG